rnacentral:misc_RNA from 1 species
GAUGAAGAACGCAGCGAAAUGCGAUACUUGGUGUGAAUUGCAGAAUCCCGUGAACCAUCGAGUCUUUGAACGCAAGUUGCGCCCGAAGCCAUCAGGUUGAGGGCACGUCUGCCUGGGCGUCACAUAUCGUUGCCCAAUGCCUAUUGCAGUGCAAUAGGAAUUUCUAGGGCGAAUGAUGGCUUCCCGUGAGCGUUGUUGCCUCGCGGUUGGUUGAAAAUCGAGUCCUUGGUAGGGUGUGCCAUGGUAGAUGGUGGUCGAGUUAGAACGAUACCGAUCAUGUGCAUGCUCCCCAAAAUAUGGCCUCUAUGACCCUCACGCGUCUUUUGACGCUCAUGACGAGACCUCAGGUCAGGCGGGGCUACCCGCUGAAUUUAAGCAUAUCAAUAAGCGGAGGA